rnacentral:sRNA from 1 species
UCCGGAACAAGCUGAAAAUUGAAACGACAUGUCGUCUCAUUCCUCCGUAAUAAGGAAUGGGAAUACGAUAUGUUCGAGUCUCUCAAAUUUUCACAACAUCGAUUGUGUCUCACGAGACAUCUUCGG